GCGGUUGGCAUUGCCAUCGCUGUCGCGCUUGUCCUGUUAAUUGACCGUACGCUGAUCGGUGCCACGCUGCGGGCCGGUGUCGACAACCGUGAGAUGGUCACCGCGCUCGGCAUCAACAUCAAUGUUCUGUUUGCGCUGGUGUUCGGAUUCGGUUCCGCUCUCGCCGGCUUUGCGGGUGUCGUCGCCGCACCGGUCAUGAGCAUCUACUCCAACAUGGGUAUCGGAAUCGUCGUAACGACGUUCGUGGUCGUGGUGG
rnacentral:misc_RNA from 1 species